CUGAGCCCCAGUUCCCGACUCUCUCUGCCUCCUGAAAACACUCCGGCAGCCUGAUCCACAAAAAGGGGAGAACAGCCAAACUUCGAAGGGGAGAACCCAGCAGCUAAACCCCCCCCCUCUCAGAUCCAGACCAGAGGGGGCUGGGGGGAUUUUCACCGGUGCAGAAAGAAGAAACAGGUCACAUGAUGAUUCAGGAGGAAUAGGAUGUGAAAGCACUUGUUAUUUGCAGUCUGUGUUCUACAUGCAAGCCAUGAUGUAAUAUGGCUUUUUAUUCCUAUGUGAUGAUGAAAAAUAUUCAUGUAGGAAUAGAAGCUAUUUUACAGGUGGUGAGAGAGCAGCAUAACACAAGGAGAGCCCCUGGCCACACACAGAGACAGAUGCGCGGUUGGAUAUGUAUGGAUAUAAAAUGUAUCUGUCUUCUGUUAAAUGCUUCCCUGUAG